rnacentral:tRNA from 1 species
AUUUGUUAAGUAUUAAUAUGUAUAAUUGACUUCCAAUCAAAAGGCCUGGAUAAUUUCAGAACAAAUA